GGGUGCGAUCAUACCGACGUUAAUGCGCCGGAUCCCAUCAGAACUCCACAGUUAAGCACGCUUGGGCCAGAGUAGUAAUGGAAUGGGUGACCACUCGGGAAGCCCUAGUGUUGCACGCU
rnacentral:rRNA from 1 species